rnacentral:rRNA from 1 species
UACGUAGGGGGCAAGCGUUGUCCGGAAUCAUUGGGCGUAAAGAGCGUGUAGGCGGCCAGAUAAGUCCGCUGUGAAAUCUCGAGGCUCAACUUCGAGCUGGCGGUGGAAACUGUCUGGCUAGAGUCCGGAAGAGGAGAAUGGAAUUCCUGGUGUAGCGGUGAAAUGCGCAGAUAUCAGGAGGAACACCGGUGGCGAAGGCGGUUCUCUGGGCCUUACCUGACACUGAGGAGCGAAAGCGUGGGGAGCGAACAGG